UACACAGUUCAUCAGGACCAGCAUGAUGGU
rnacentral:piRNA from 1 species